rnacentral:rRNA from 1 species
AUACAUGCAGUCGAGCGAACAGAUAAGGAGCUUGCUCCUUUGACGUUAGCGGCGGACGGGUGAGUAACACGUGGGUAACCUACCUAUAAGACUGGGAUAACUUCGGGAAACCGGAGCUAAUACCGGAUAACAUUUGGAACCGCAUGGUUCUAAAGUGAAAGAUGGUUUUGCUAUCACUUAUAGAUGGACCCGCGCCGUAUUAGCUAGUUGGUAAGGUAACGGCUUACCAAGGCGACGAUACGUAGCCGACCUGAGAGGGUGAUCGGCCACACUGGAACUGAGACACGGUCCAGACUCCUACGGGAGGCAGCAGUAGGGAAUCUUCCGCAAUGGGCGAAAGCCUGACGGAGCAACGCCGCGUGAGUGAUGAAGGGUUUCGGCUCGUAAAACUCUGUUAUUAGGGAAGAACAAACGUGUAAGUAACUGUGCACGUCUUGACGGUACCUAAUCAGAAAGCCACGGCUAACUACGUGCCAGCAGCCGCGGUAAUACGUAGGUGGCAAGCGUUAUCCGGAAUUAUUGGGCGUAAAGCGCGCGUAGGCGGUUUCUUAAGUCUGAUGUGAAAGCCCACGGCUCAACCGUGGAGGGUCAUUGGAAACUGGGAAACUUGAGUGCAGAAGAGGAAAGUGGAAUUCCAUGUGUAGCGGUGAAAUGCGCAGAGAUAUGGAGGAACACCAGUGGCGAAGGCGACUUUCUGGUCUGUAACUGACGCUGAUGUGCGAAAGCGUGGGGAUCAAACAGGAUUAGAUACCCUGGUAGUCCACGCCGUAAACGAUGAGUGCUAAGUGUUAGGGGGUUUCCGCCCCUUAGUGCUGCAGCUAACGCAUUAAGCACUCCGCCUGGGGAGUACGACCGCAAGGUUGAAACUCAAAGGAAUUGACGGGGACCCGCACAAGCGGUGGAGCAUGUGGUUUAAUUCGAAGCAACGCGAAGAACCUUACCAAAUCUUGACAUCCUUUGAAAACUCUAGAGAUAGAGCCUUCCCCUUCGGGGGACAAAGUGACAGGUGGUGCAUGGUUGUCGUCAGCUCGUGUCGUGAGAUGUUGGGUUAAGUCCCGCAACGAGCGCAACCCUUAAGCUUAGUUGCCAUCAUUAAGUUGGGCACUCUAGGUUGACUGCCGGUGACAAACCGGAGGAAGGUGGGGAUGACGUCAAAUCAUCAUGCCCCUUAUGAUUUGGGCUACACACGUGCUACAAUGGACAAUACAAAGGGCAGCUAAACCGCGAGGUCAUGCAAAUCCCAUAAAGUUGUUCUCAGUUCGGAUUGUAGUCUGCAACUCGACUACAUGAAGCUGGAAUCGCUAGUAAUCGUAGAUCAGCAUGCUACGGUGAAUACGUUCCCGGGUCUUGUACACACCGCCCGUCACACCACGAGAGUUUGUAACACCCGAAGCCGGUGGAGUAACCAUUUAUGGAGCUAGCC